rnacentral:rRNA from 1 species
AAGACCUUGCGCUUUUGGAGCGGCCGAUGUCUGAUUAGCUUGUUGGUGAGGUAAAAGCUUACCAAGGCUUCGAUCAGUAGCUGGUCUGAGAGGACGGCCAGCCACACUGGGACUGAGACACGGCCCAGACUCCUACGGGAGGCAACAGUGGGGAAUUUUGGACAAUGGGGGCAACCCUGAUCCAGCCAUGCCGCGUGAGUGAAGAAGGCCUUCGGGUUGUAAAGCUCUUUCAGCCGGAACGAAACGGUUACGGUUAAUACCCGUGACUACUGACGGUACCGGAAGAAGAAGCACCGGCUAACUACGUGCCAGCAGCCGCGGUAAUACGUAGGGUGCAAGCGUUAAUCGGAAUUACUGGGCGUAAAGCGUGCGCAGGUGGUUUUGUAAGUCAGAUGUGAAAUCCCCGGGCUUAACCUGGGAACU